rnacentral:rRNA from 1 species
CGUGUAGGCGGGAAAGCAAGUCAGAUGUGAAAACUAUGGGCUCAACCCAUAGCCUGCAUUUGAAACUGUUUUUCUUGAGUGUUGGAGAGGCAGGCGGAAUUCCGUGUGUAGCGGUGAAAUGCGUAGAUAUACGGAGGAACACCAGUGGCGAAGGCGGCCUGCUGGACAAUAACUGACGCUGAGGCGCGAAAGCGUGGGGAGCAAACA